rnacentral:rRNA from 1 species
AUUGAAAGCUGGCGGCAGGCUUAACACAUGCAAGUCGAGCGGGGUGAUGGUGCUUGCACUAUCACUUAGCGGCGGACGGGUGAGUAAUGCUUAGGAAUCUGCCUAUUAGGGGGGGACAACAUCUCGAAAGGGAUGCUAAUACCGCAUACGUCCUACGGGAGAAAGCAGGGGAUCACUUGUGACCUUGCGCUAAUAGAUGAGCCUAAGUCGGAUUAGCUAGUUGGUGGAGUAAAGGCCUACCAAGGCGACGAUCUGUAGCGGGUCUGAGAGGAUGAUCCGCCACACUGGGACUGAGACACGGCCCAGACUCCUACGGGAGGCAUCAGUGGGGAAUAUUGGACAAUGGGGGGAACCCUGAUCCAGCCAUGCCGCGUGUGUGAAGAAGGCCUUAUGGUUGUAAAGCACUUUAAGCGAGGAGGAGGCUCUUUUGGUUAAUACCCAGAAUGAGUGGACGUUACUCGCAGAAUAAGCACCGGCUAACUCUGUGCCAGCAGCCGCGGUAA